rnacentral:lncRNA from 1 species
AGAUGCUUUUAGCCUGAAAAGGAGAAUAGAAAUGCAUUUUCUCUAAACAUACAAGAGCACUCAUUUCCAGAGAGAUCCUGGACUGGAGGGACAGGAGCGUGACCCAGGCUGUUCAUCAUGAAUGGCUGGCUGGGGCUUCCAGGGAGCUCAAGAUCAAAUCCGGGGGCAAAGAGACAGAAGAACUAAAACUCAGAGUGACCACCAAUGCAGCUAUGAAACAGGUGGCAACAGCCAAGUGGAAGAAGCCAAGUGAAGGGCUAUGGGGACCUAGAAGAUGGAGUCGUCACACAGUGGAAGAAUUGCAGAUCUCUGAGUCACCAUUUGGACAAGAACCUACUAGAACAGGUGCCUGAACAAGAACACUGGACUUUGUGUGAGUGAGAAACAAACUUUUAUUGUGUUAAGCCACCGAGAUUUUGGGUUGGUUUUUAUAGUAGCUGGUGUUGCUUACACUGACUAAUACAUCUUGAAAGUAAAUGAUGCAAAACAAUUCUACUUAUUCACAGGGGGUGGUAUUUAUAAGGGAAAAGAAUAACAGGGUGGUGUCAGUGAUGGGUCCUGAUAAGUAAGCAACAACAAGGAAGGGGCCCCAGGUAGGGAAGAACAAUUGUUCUGAGAGACUGUUAAUCACAAACAACCUGCUAGCCCCACAUCCUGUUCUCAAAUACUUUGCUCAGCAUGUAGCCCCAGCAGCAUGACUUUGUCUGCAUGUAGACCCUCCAGCAUGACCCUAUAAAAUUUCCCUCCAGCCACUGCCUCUUGGCAGACAGUCCCUUCUCUGCUGUGCUGCCCACUGCUUUCUUACAACGUUAUCUUUGUACUUUCUCUAAUAAAUCUGCCUUUCUUUACCCACAA